GCAGCCGCGGUAAUUCCAGCUCCAAUAGCGUAUAUUAAAGUUGUUGCAGUUAAAAAGCUCGUAGUUGAACCUCGGGAUUUGUUCGUUGGUCAGGCUUCACUGUCUGCACUGGUGUUACGAAUUCCUACCUUCUGAUGAAUCUUCAUGCCAUUCACUUGGUGCGGAGGGGAAUCAGGACUGUUACUUUGAAAAAAUUAGAGUGUUUAAAGCAGGCUAUUGCUCGAAUACAUUAGCAUGGAAUAAUAAAAUAGGACGGUUGGUUUUAUUUUGUUGGUUUCUAGGAUCACCGUAAUGAUUAAUAGGGAUAGUUGGG
rnacentral:rRNA from 1 species